CCUACGGGUGGCAGCAGUGGGGAAUAUUGCACAAUGGGGGAAACCCUGAUGCAGCGACGCCGCGUGAGUGAAGAAGUAUCUCGGUACGUAAAGCUCUAUCAGCAGGGAAGAAAAUGACGGUACCUGACUAAGAAGCCCCGGCUAACUACGUGCCAGCAGCCGCGGUAAUACGUAGGGGGCAAGCGUUAUCCGGAUUUACUGGGUGUAAAGGGCGCGUAGGCGGCAGCACAAGUCAGGAGUGAAAUCCCGGGGCUUAACCCCGGAACUGCUUUUGAAACUGUGCGGCUGGAGUGCAGGAGGGGUAGGCGGAAUUCCUGGUGUAGCGGUGAAAUGCGUAGAUAUCAGGAGGAACACCGGUGGCGAAGGCGGCUUACUGGACUGUAACUGACGUUGAGGCGCGAAAGCGUGGGGAGCAAACAGGAUUAGAUACCCUGGUAGUC
rnacentral:rRNA from 1 species